rnacentral:rRNA from 1 species
UCUCCUGGAAAACGGGUGGUAAUGCCGGAUGCUCCAGUUGAUCGCAUGGUCUUCUGGGAAAGCUUUCGCGGUAUGGGAUGGGGUCGCGUCCUAUCAGCUUGACGGCGGGGUAACGGCCCACCGUGGCUUCGACGGGUAGCCGGCCUGAGAGGGCGACCGGCCACAUUGGGACUGAGAUACGGCCCAGACUCCUACGGGAGGCAGCAGUGGGGAAUAUUGCACAAUGGGCGCAAGCCUGAUGCAGCGACGCCGCGUGAGGGAUGGAGGCCUUCGGGUUGUAAACCUCUUUUAUCGGGGAGCAAGCGAGAGUGAGUUUACCCGUUGAAUAAGCACCGGCUAACUACGUGCCAGCAGCCGCGGUAAUACGUAGGGUGCAAGCGUUAUCCGGAAUUAUUGGGCGUAAAGGGCUCGUAGGCGGUUCGUCGCGUCCGGUGUGAAAGUCCAUCGCUUAACGGUGGAUCCGCGCCGGGUACGGGCGGGCUUGAGUGCGGUAGGGGAGACUGGAAUUCCCGGUGUAACGGUGGAAUGUGUAGAUAUCGGAAAAGAACACCCCCC